rnacentral:rRNA from 1 species
AUUGAACGCUGGCGGCAUGCCUUACACAUGCAAGUCGAACGGCAGCACGGGAGCAAUCCUGGUGGCGAGUGGCGAGCGGGUGAGUAAUAUAUCGGAACGUGCCCAGUCGUGGGGAUAACGUAGCGAAAGCUACGCUAAUACCGCAUACGAUCUAUGGAUGAAAGCGGGGGAUCGCAAGACCUCGCGCGAUUGGAGCGGCUGAUAUCAGAUUAGGUUGUUGGUGAGGUAAAAGCUCACCAAGCCGACGAUCUGUAGCUGGUUUGAGAGAACGACCAGCCACACUGGGACUGAGACACGGCCCAGACUCCUACGGGAGGCAGCAGUGGGGAAUUUUGGACAAUGGGCGAAAGCCUGAUCCAGCAAUGCCGCGUGCAGGAAGAAGGUCUCGGAUUGUAAAGCACUUUAAGUUGGGAGGAAGGGUAGUAACCUAAUACGUUGCUACUUUGACGUUACCGACAGAAUAAGNACCGGCUAACUUCGUGCCAG